ensembl:lncRNA LINC01206 long intergenic non-protein coding RNA 1206
AGGAGCACCAUGGGAGAGAAUUUGAACGCUCUUGGCAGUUGAGAUUCAGACCUUGACAGUUGUAACCGAUAGACUGGGCUGGGGCAACGCUGAUGAAAGGCAAAUUCCUGAGAGAAAAAUCACCCAGACUUUCUAGAAGUUGUUAUGAGUGGACCUGACUACCUAGAGAGAGUAAUACAGAAGCUCCGUGCCGAUCACAGCUACCUCAUUACCAUGUUCCUCCAAGAUGGCCGCCCCUGAGGAGAAUCAUCAACUGGGCUUUACGGAAGAGAGAAAUCCAAACGACCAUCAGCAACAAAUGAAAGACUGAAGUUGAAAGGAAAUCCAUAAUUUUUGAAUGCUGGCCGAGGUCUGUGACCUCUGACUGAAUGGUUUCCAAGCUCCGAAUUCCUAGGUGAUGUUUUCAUUUGUUCACACUUGCUGAAGAAGGGAAAGGCUCUCUGAUUUACGUGUAAGCAAAACAAUCUAAACAGUAGGAUAAAAUCAUGUUGGAAUGGAGUUCUGUGUGGAUGCUCCUUUGAACCAAAUCAGUUCCACAACUGACCCUGUCAGGGACAUAUAAAUUUAGCAUUUUGGUGUGGAUACAGAAGACGAGAUUAACACAGAUCAAGUAACAUGGAAAUAAAAAAGGAGACAAUGCUGGAUGAUACAGGGGCAGCCAACAAGAGGAGAAAACCCAAGCAUUGGCAAAUGCCUCAUUAUCCAAAGAACACUGAGGUGUGGAGCAAAACUGUGUUGAAUGAACUGUAGAUGGAAAUUCUCUCCUUCCCACCGAGGAGCCGCUGCAGGUUGCAGACUCCCAGAAUGCCACACUGAGAAGAGGAGGGCUAAAAUUCUAGAGCAGAAUCCCUGGGGCAGCCCCUGCUGAAGAAGGGUGCAUCUGUUGAGAAUCUCAUCACCGCCCCCACCCCGCCCAGCCUUCAAUUUAGAGGAAUUUCUAGUUCACGCAGAAUGAAGACAAGAUCACAUAAGUGAGGACGACGCCCCAUUUACAAGUGUGAUUUGGAAGACUGAAGUGGAAACCUUGGGAAGGGGCCUCAGAGUAUGUCAGCUGGGGUCAGACGGGAACAGGAGUCUGGCUCAACACACAUUUAUUGCACUCCUGUUUCAUGCCAAGAAAUGUACCAAAAUCUGGGACUGUGUAACACAGCAAAGGAAAAGACUCAUCUCCAGGAAGCCCCCUUGUCUAGGAAGAGAAAUUGAAUAUCAGCAUAAGGUGGUGAAAAGCUGUGAAGGAGAUGAGUGCCAGGAGUCCAUGGAGGAAGGAUUCUAGCCUGGACAGGUGAGGAAUGGCUUUCUGGAAGAAGCAGAUGCCCCAGCUGAACUUUAAAAUGCCCAUGUGAAAUGAACUGUCUGUAUCUUCAAUCAGCAAAUGGAGUAGGUGGCCACUGUUUAAUUCUGGAAUGGGGAAGUGUAAAGGUGUGGUGUGUGUGUUUACCCCUACUUAGGGAUUCAAAACAGACAGUAAAGAACAAAAGUCUAGCCCUUUGAGCAUUCUCCAUGGGACAUUUGAGGUCUAGCUGGCCCCAGAGAAAGAGAGACAGAAGCAAGGUCAUAUCCAUUUGAGAAAAUCAAAGUGUCUGCUCCAAUUGAGUCUGGUGUCCUUAUUCCUGGAAUAGCCAUCCCUACUGCUCUGGUGCUGAUUUACCUCCGGCAGUUCAGUGCUUCCUGGAAGGUGAUUGUGGUGAAUAGUCAUGAGAAUCUGGGAACUGGCUCCUGCUCUGUCUAUCUUGGAGAUGCAUCUUUUGUGAGAAGCCAGGGCAAGAAUAGGGAGGCUUAGGCAAUGGGAAGUUUCUGAGUAGAUAAAGCAGAUGGCAGAGCAAAGGGACAGAGCCUGGCGAGAGGCUACUCCCUGUAGCAACCUGCCUAAGAGUGAGAGGAAAGCAAGGCAUGGCUAUGAGCACGUGUAGUCUCAGCUACUUGGGAAGCUGAGGCUGGGGGAUCACUUGAGCCCAGGAGUUCAAGACCAGCCUAGGCAACAUAGUGAGACCAUGUCUCUUUAAAAAAAAAAAAAAAAAGAAAAAGGGAGAGAGAGAAAAAAAGGUGACAAUUCCCCCAACACACAUAAAGUACAUAAGAGUUAACAAGGACACAGUGGCAGAAAAUAGUCAGAACUGAGCAAGCAUCAGUGAGGAAAUGUUUUCCUGAGGAGACUUGAGAAGUCUCAAAAAUGAAAAGAAAGAGUAUUUGGUGUAGAAAGAAUGGCAUGAGAUGUGAAAGCUCAUUCAUCCAUUUAUUCCAGGUAUAUCUUUUUCUUCAGUACUUUGGGAGGCAAUAGGUGUAAUAGCAAGAACAUUCAGGUUAGUGGGUUAGUGUGAGUCUGCCAUAUGUAUGAGGGUUGAAUACACAUUAGGUGUGGUGACUGUCAUAUGGGAGGCACUGCAAGGUGAAGGAGACAUGUCCUCACAUUUGGUCUUUGGGAAGCGAAGCAGGCAGAAACCCAAGUGCAAAGUGGCCAUUUGUUUUCCUAAUGCUAGAUAAGUACCUGAUGUGUUGGAAGGGUGGAGUAGAACUAGAAACUCCUGGAAGUUCUUUUAAGAACGAAUGCAGGACCUCAUCAGCCCGAGUCUUUAAAUAAGUCACACAUUUUUGGUCACCACAUUCUGGAAGGGGGACAAAAAGAUCUGUCACAGACAAAAUUUGGAGAUAUUUAAGGCUUUGUUGACUUUGGCAAAUGCUUGAUUAUAGUUCUGUGGUCUGUUUGUUUUCUAGAGUCUCCAUGAAUUGCAAGGGAAAACAAGUGGUACACUGGUAUUUCUAUUUGAUAACCUGUUCUCUUUGGAAUUCCGGUUAGAAAUCAAAGGCUUACUUGAGUUUUAAUGCUUUCGGGACUUCAAAUGCUUUUCUAUCUUCCUAAUAAUAUAUUAACAUUUUCUGAAGACAACAUAUAUGUGGAAAACAACAUUAUUUACUCAAAUAAUUUUUUUUGAAAAAUGGACCAAAAAAAAAGAAAAACCAACAAAAACCUUUUCAUGUUGUAUCUCAGACUAGCCCAUGUUGUGUUCCAAAAUUUUUUUGCUGAAUGGUUGUUUCUGUAAUUGAAAGGCCCAUGAUUUUUUUUUCACAGCACCAUUUUGCUUUUUAAAAUUUCUACUGUGUGCCAGGUAUGGUUUUGGCAUUGCAUCCUUGCAGGAGCACUGCAAGGGAAUGAUUGCGCUAUUAUCUUCAUUUUACAGACAAGGAAAGUGAAAGCAACAAAAAGUUUCAUAUCUUACCUAAGGUCUUCUUGUUCUGAUAAGUGAUCAAGCUGGUAUUUGAACUUGGGUGCCUCAACAUGAAGGUCAAGCAUCUCAUUUUACAGAUGAGCCAACUGAAGUCCCAAGAUCACUCACCUCAUUGGUUACAGAUCUUGGAGCCCAGGGACUCUCAAUUCAGGACCAGUAUGCUUUGCAUGACAUGCAGGAUGUAUCUGAGACACAAACUGUGGUUUGUUCUCUUUUCUUCCCAAUGCAUCCUGCGUACAGUAUGCUUUGCAUGACAUGCAGGAUGUAUCUGAGACACAAACUGUGGUUUGUUCUCUUUUCUUCCCAAUGCAUCCUGCGUACAGUCUCCCUACCCCCUUCCCCCAUGAAUCCAUGUUUGUUGUUUCCCAGGAGAUACAGAUGAUGGUCCCAGACUCUGUCCAUUCUGAUCUUUGGCAUGGACCCCUAAAUCCAGCCAAAUGCAGCACCCACAGUCCCUUGCCUGAACAAGAUAUGGGCUUUUCUAUCUCUGUCAUUAUUCACCAUUUACUGUGGUUGGCAUGCCUUCUUCCUGCCAGCUCCACAGUUCGAGGUGCCACUAUUCUUUCAGAUGCAUCACACAUGCUACUUCUUUUAUGAAACUUGCAGAGUCUCAGAGUUGCAUGAGAUUUGUCACUCUUGUUGAGAGAAAGAGGACAGAGUGGAGAAGAAAAGGGAAGGGAGAAAAUGGGUGGAAUUUAUGGCCCUAGAUAUGAAGCUUGGAGAUGACUGAAGUGAUAGAUGACUCCAAGGAUAAUCAAUAGCCAUGAGAGUUAUGGCUUAUUGAAAGCUUACUAUUUCUUGGGAGAGUGCAAUGUUAUCAUCUCCUUAAAUUCUACUGCAAGUCGUCAGGUUUCUGCAGCUGGGAUUUAAGCCCAAUUCUGCCUGAAGCCAAAACUUGUGUUCUCUUUCACUGUUGUCUCCUAAGACAAUUGGUUGUGAGGUAGAAAAAGAACUGGAUAAUCCUCAAAAUGGAAAAUUAAAAAGAUGAAACUAAAUUGGGGUCAUGGGUUGAGACAAUACAGUGAGAGACACUGGAAUUGGAAGAAAUGAGGCAUGAGGCCAGAGUGGAGCUCCCUUAGGACAAUGCUUUUGGCUUCUGGAGCCUUUAUUACAAUGAGGCAGCUCAGGACUUACAGUGUUCAUCUGAGUGCCGGGAAUCGUACUGUCAUGGUGCUUCUCAUGGCUUUUUCAUCUUGCUUUGUGUUAUAGGGCUUUGGGUUCACAAGCUCUCUGAAGGAGCUGACUGUGAAGGCAAGGACUGUGUCUAUGCCUUUUUUAAGGAGACGCACAGUUUGUCUUAACCAAGUGGACACAUGAGAGGCACAGAGAGGGGUGCACCUCAGUCUACCCAAGGAUAUGGAGUGGGGGCUUUAUGGAGACCUGAGGGGCCCAGGCACAGAAAAGAGACAAAGUGAGGGAACACUUGAGGCAGAUGGCAGGGCACAUGCUUAGGGAGGAAAGCUUGGAAAGGCACAGGCAGAGUGUUUAAGGAUGUGCCCAGCAUGUAAUCUAGAGAAAGCAGUCAGAGGAAAUGAGACUGGAGAGGCAGCUCGAGGCAGGGCAUAUAUGUGAAAGUCACUCGCACCCCCUCUUAUCAUAUGACUCCAGGCAGUCCUCCAACCCGUCCUCCAACCCACCCACUCGAGCUUCCUGCCUUCUGACAGGUUUCCUUAUUUCUGAGCCUCUCGUAACAGGCCCAGUAUAUCCUUCCUUGCUCAUGUAAAGAAUUCCACUCAUCUUUCAAGACAUUUUAAACAGAAGUCCUGUGAGGCCUGCCUUGAGACACUCACACUCAAUUUACUUUCUUCAGAAGUGUCUUUUCUACUUCUCUGUUCUAGCACAGCCACAAUGUUUCAUCUGUUUCCCCUACUAUUGUGAGGGCUUCUUCCACAAGAAGAAUUUUGUCUUCUCUUUGCACCCCCAUUACCAGCACAUAGUAAGCGCUCAGCACAUUUGAUAAUGGAAUGGCUCUGAUUUUACAUUCCUGUAUUUUUCCGGCAGAUAGUGAGUAGUCAGCGGGGACUCAUGCAUGACUCUGGGAAAAGUAGAGGGUAAUUUUUUUAUUUGCUUUUCGAGGGCUGAUCAGGGCUCCUUAUUUUUAUGGCGGCCAGCAUCCUGCUCACCCUGACUCCCUCCAGCUUCUGGUACCUGCAUAUCCAGGCUAUGUUAAUUUCCCUGCAUUUUUCCUCUUUGUCACUUUUUCUUUUUUUUCUUCAAAGAGCGUCGCAAUCUCUCAGGAGUUUGAUUAUAUUGCAAGAUGAAUAGGAUAUUUGAAUUAUGCUAUUUAAAUGAGUCAUCUCAACCCUAGUGUAAUUGUUCACCCCCUGUCACACUAAACGUGACCUACAUUUUUAAAAGAGUGCUUUUGGCCUGAAUAGAGGAUUGCUGAAAUUGUUGGGUUCCAGUUCUCAGCAAUUUAUCAUUUGUUAUCACCGAGUGUGUCUUUUGUUUCACAUCUGGGCAGAUGUGAACUUUUAAAACUGUCUCUCACUAGACCUAUCAAAAGAAGCUGCUUUUAUUUGCAAAAAGAAGGUGAACUGAUUUCCUGGGUGUUUAUGUGUGUGUGGUAUGUGGAGGGGCACAGAGGAGCAGCAGAGUUCAUUAAACAGAAGAUGUCUGGUCUUGGCUAAGCAGUUUAAAAACAUAUAGGAGUACUUAUGCUGAAUUGAUUCACAUUUUGGUUCUGUGGCCUGAAACUUGCUUGUUUCACCCUUCUUUUUUGAGAGUUUUGGUUGCUCUAAAACUAAGCCUGUAUUAAUGCUCUUGAGAUGGAUCAACUGGGGAGCCCUGUCAUGCCUUACCAUUUUUUCAUCUUGGAGUCAAGCUGCAGGACAGGAUUCUUAUACUGCCCAAAUGAUUGGAGGCACAUUUCCCUCCAUUGUCCAUUUCUUUGACAGGCUGUGAAACAUAACUAACUCCAAAGCCACCUAUCAAAGUUCAUGAAGGUUUUAGUUAGGAACUGGUGGUUUUGUUGUUACAGAUACUUCAGUUAUUCAGACUGUGAAUUUGAGUCACAGCCUACUAGGCAAGGCCCAUACUGAGAUACAAAGGAACUGAACUUUCUAAAUUAGAGGUGAGCAGCAUUUCUGAAGUGAUAGAUAAGGUCCUUGUACUACAUUCAUUCAGCAGAUAUUGAUUGUGUGCCCAUGAAUCAGGCAUAUGUGUAGGGCGUUAAUACAAAAGAAACUGGCCCCUACCCUCAAGAAGUUCACAGUCUAGUGAGGUUGACAGGCAUGCAGAUGAUAACAUAAUGGAGGCAUGCAAGAAAUGCUGUGGAAAAUUAAGACAGCACAGUCUGCCUGAGGAGAGUGGUCAACGUUUAAUAGAGGAGGAUGUGCUUGUGUUGGAACUUGUAGGAUGAGUAAUGGUGAAGGCAAAGGCUACUGUGGCUAGAGUCUAGUGCACGAUGAUGGAGAUGAGGUGGUCAGAACACGAGGGUUCUUGUAUGUCAAAGUAUGCUAGUUUUACACCAUACAUUUAUUAUUAUGAAUUCAGCUGCGAGGAACAGAAAUCUGCAAUUCAACUGGCUUAAACACUGAGGAAAAUUUAUUAGCACAUGUAAUAUGUUCAAAGGCAGUUCCAGGAUGACUGAAUUCAGUGGCUCGACUCUGUCAUUAAGGACUUAGGUUCUUUCCAUUUUUUUUGCUCUGCCAUCCUUGGUAUGAUGGUUUGCUCUCAGACUUGCUCUUCUCCUGAUCGCAAGGUGACCAAAGAGGAAGAGAGAUUUGUUUCUUUGUUUUUGAGGUUUGUUGGUGUUUGUUUUGUCUUGAUUUGUGUCUUUUCAAUCAGUAAGGAAAAUCUUUCCUAAGGAGCUCUCCUGCCACUCCCAUCAGACUCAUCCUCAUGCCUCAGUGGCCAAAAGUGCAUCACGUGCCCAAUCCUAAACCAUUCACUGGCAAGGGGAAUGCAACCACCAUUACUGGCUCAGACCAAUCUUGAUUCACUCCCUGGAAGAACUGUCCCACUUCUUCUGGAUUAUAUGGCCCAGGUAGAGGAUACUGGAACAAAAUUGGGUUUCCGAUAGAGAGUAGGAGAAAGGGAGACAAUUGAUUGCUGAGUUGGCAACCAACAGCAUUUGCUAUGGUAGAUGAUGAGAAACCAGUAUAGAUAAUUGAGCAGGAGUGGCAUGAUCAGUUAUGUUUAAAAAAAGUCCUAUCAGAAAUGUAGAGUUGAGCUUAAUAGACAGAAAAAUUGAGAACACAUGGAAUAGUCUUGUGAGCAGCCAAGGAACUGAUCAACACACAUGUGGAACUGGAGCUGAAACUUUUCUGGAGUCAUUCUUCUGUAGUGGUAGGAGGGGGUAUUUAGGGGUAGAAAGGCAACUAAUGCAGAACAGAGAUUUACCAAGAAGUUCCUUAUGGUACUGUGGCAAACAUGCAAGUUUUUAAAAAAAGGUUCAGAUGAUAAUGUGGUCCACUCAGAGGAGCCACUGUGGCGACAGAAUGCUAGCAUUUUGGAACUGGUAGUGAUCUUGAUGUCAUCUAGUUCAAGAUCUUUAUUUUACAAGUUACAGAACUGGGACCCAGGCAAGCAAAGUGAUUUGUUAAGUUCCUAUGUGUGGUCCAUGGCUGAACUAGAACCAUGCCCAUAGAUUUUCUGACUUUCAGCCCAGGGCACUUUGUAAUGGAUUCUCAGGGCCCUCUCAUGGGGUUUAAUGUGUCCAUUCGGGAGUGCUGUAGAAGCUCCACAGGCCCUCUUCCUAUGUUUCUCUUAUCCUUGACAACAAUUCUAUUGUUGGAAUUUUGUUGUUGUUGUUGUUGAAAUAUGGUUUUGGUUUCUAUAAAAAUGCAAAUAAUACUGAUAAGUAUAAUGUUUUAAGCUCUUAUCAUUCAUUUGGAUCUUAAAGUGAAUGUGUCCUUCUUGUUUUUUCUUUGAAGCAGAUUUUAAUGGGGGAUGGGAAUAAGAAAUUCAGGGUACUGGAAACAUAAAAGGAAAAAGGAGGCCCUAAGAAGAAUCCCGAAGAAGAGAAGCUGGAGGCUGAGGGUUCAUUACUUUGUUGAGGGUGUUUCUUAUGACACCAAAUAAGACCCAUGGUGCCUGAGAUACUAAUGAGAGGCAAUUGCCGUCCUAGUGUGAGGUGGGGCCUCUGGCCCACUUUUCUUGACAAUCUAAACAUCCAUUCACAAUGACCCAACUACACUUCUUCACUCUUUCCUUUGGUCUUCAAUGUGCCUAUGCCUAUCCUCCCCAGAACAUAUAUAGUUUUGGCUAAAAUUGCUAUGCAGAAAUUUUUGGAAAUUCACCCUGGUAGACAGAGCAUGACAGCAGGCAUUAAAAAAAAAAAAAGUUCAGUUAAAAACAAGAAAAUGGUUUGAGAAUCAAGCUCUUACUGAGAAGGAAUCUUAGCAUUUUGGAGCUGGAAGUGACCCUGAAGUCAUCUGGUUCAAGACCUUUAUUUUACAAAUGAGAAAACUGGGACCCAGACAAGCAAAGUGAGUUGUUAAGUUCCUCCUGUGUGUGGUCCAUGGCUGAACUAGAACCAUACCCAUAGAUUUUCUUCCCUUCAGCCCAGGACUCUUCGCAAUGGGUUCUCACCAAGCUUAAGUAAAGAUUGAUCUGUAAAAUCAAUUUAUUUCAACUUUACUUUUGAAAAUAGUCCAAAGUAUUAAUAUAUUAGUUUAUUUUUUUGGUGGUAUGCCAAACAUUAUAAAACUGCUAGUUUUAGAUGUAGACAGUGAGUAAAGAUUGAGCUAAAUCUUUAUAGAUUGUGGCCUUUUGGGGCAUUUGGUAAAAGAUAAUCCUAUUUCUGUAAAACAAAUACUGAAAAGAGAAAAAAAAAAGCACAUAUGUAUGUGUAUGUCCAUCUAAGAUUGUUUAAGCCUGGAAAAACAUGGAAGGAUAUAUAUGAAGUUGUUAUCAUGGGUUUGCCUGACAGUGCUGAUGCGGGUGGAAGAGGAGGGAUGGGAGAAGCUGUGCAAAUGUAUGAGAAAGGGACUAAAAAGGGAUGUCUAUUAUGAUAUUUAUAUAAAUUUAUUUCUAGGUGUGGCUGUAUAUUGAAAAAAUGAGUAAAAUACUUUAAAAAGUGAUCUGGAAAAUGAGAAAAGAAAAAUGAGUGUAAUUCUCAUGUGCGUUUAAAAUUAUAAUGUGUCAAAUGUUUGUCUAAAUUGGAUGAUCACUAAGAAUAAAAUUAAAUUGGAAAUUUUAAUUAAAGGUGCUAAAUUAAAGGUGCCAAUAUGUAGCUGGACAUACUCUUCUAUUUUCAAUUACAUUUUGUUUUACUUUCACCCACUUGCUAUGUAGUUUUUCAUCUCAUGCAUUUUUUUGAUACUUUAUGUCAGUAGUGGCUGAAUUGUAUUUGAAAAAUAUGUAUCAUAUAUAAUUACAUACACACAAUUAAAGCUAAGUUUAUUUCAAAA